UACGUAGGGUGCAGGCGUUAAUCGGAAUUACUGGGCGUAAAGCGUGCGCAGGCGGUUUGCUAAGACAGGUGUGAAAUCCCCGGGCUUAACCUGGGAACUGCGCUUGUAACUGGCAAGCUGGAGUGUGGCAGAGGGGGGUGGAAUUCCACGUGUAGCAGUGAAAUGCGUAGAUAUGUGGAGGAAUACCGAUGGCGAAGGCAGCCCCCUGGGAUAAAACUGACGCUCAUGCACGAAAGCGUGGGGAGCAAACAGG
rnacentral:rRNA from 1 species